GGGCUUGUAUGAUGGGAGCAGUUUGGAAACGCAACUGAAAUUAGAAAGGCUUGUGGUCCGUGCAGUUCGUCCUUACUUGGGUGUAAGGGGACUUUAUGUGAGAGAUACAGAACCAGUUGUUGAGGCCUCUACAAACAUUACCCUUCCACCCAAAGAUACAGACGCAUCGAAAAUUCUACUAAAUGCCCUAGUCCAUGGCAGGAACUCCAAUUUUCUGUCAUUCCGACAAACGACCAGUCAGCAUGGUAGCCGACAUGAAGUAUCUCCAGACCCGACAUUGGAGCAAGCUCAUAGUGGUUCAAACACCACUAGCACCAGUGGACGAAAACGAUUGUGGCCGGCGCCACAGCCUCGUUACGUAGGAUCAAAACUACAAGUACCUUGUAACGACAGACGACAGGUUGUAUCUAUGACUCCACAUUUGAUGCCAUGACCUAGUAAAAUGAAAGCCUACGCUUGCUUAAAACUCUGUCCUUCCAGUCAACAAAGCAGAACCUCUUCCAAAAUAUAUUUUCACUGUCUCAAAAUGGUUGAAGAAAAAGAGAGUGUAGAUGAGAAUAUGAUACUUUCAAAGCAAGCCAAUGAAAAUGGUUUCUGAGGUCCCCCCCCCCCCACUGUCUCUCUCUACUUUUUCUUUUUUUUUUUCUGAUGCAAAUAACUCUUUAAAAAAAGAGGAAAAGAAAAAUGUAGGGAUCACAAAGCUUUCUAUUUCCAAUAGAAGGGAAACAAUAAAAAAGAGGAUUCACACUUAACAAUGCAAUGAAACAAACUUGCUGAAAUAUGCAAUGAGACUUCAAAAUAUCACCAGAUUUUGAAACAUACGCUGCCAUUAUUUUUAAGAUUCUAUUUAAUUGAUUCAUAUGCAAUUUUUUUGUAAAUAUUCUUUCUCUUCUCCCCCAUUUCCAAUGUUCUGUAUUUCAACUGUGUUGUGCAUAUUCACUUAUACUUAAAUGAUUACAUCAAUGAAGGAGUGAUUGUUAUAUAUUUUUUCCCAUUACAGAAAUUUUCCCAGUCCCUCAACUAUUCAAAAAUAACAUUGUGGAAAGAGAAAAGAUGAAAAGACCUCCUUUCUUACAAACACACCCGAACACUUCAGGCUAAAUAAUAACUUGUACAAAAUGCCAUUAUUAAAUAAUGUUUGCAGUGGUACCUCUAGUACCUUGGAUUUAAAUUAUGGACUGAGUUAAAUGCCUUUAAUAAUAAUAACAAUAAUGGUGCCAGCCUGCCAUUUUGAAGCAUGAAAUGCCUGGUUAACAUCAUUGUCCUGAUUUGUCACUUUUUCGUCCAAAAUUAACCAAAAAAGAAGAAAAAAGUUGUUUUUUCUUCUGUUGAAUAGUUUACAGCUGUUAUGUGAUGGUACACACCUUUAUAAGACAAAAGCAAAAAGAAAAGCAAUUCAUUCCCAUUCAGUCUCACCCUUUUUUUUUUUUUUUUUUACUGAGUCCUGAUUAUAGUUGUUGGCAUUUUUAAUUCCAAAUCAUACAGCUGAAUUGCAAGGAAGAUGCAGAGAAGUCACUACUCAACACAGGUUUAUAGUGUUCAACAAAUGAGAGAUAAAUCUCCUCCUGGACAGGAUGCUGGUCUUAUUAAUGGAGAAUUUAUAUUCUAUAAUGCUACAACUCCUUACAACAAUGAUUUAAACCCCAUGUAGUACCUUACAACUAUUUAGGUUGGACUAUGGAAAGUUAAAGUGCUUUGGUCAUGGAUAUAAAUGCACAAUUGAAUCUCCUUUAUAGUUGUUUGGUACCAUAACAAAUAAGUGAAGAAGAUAUCCAAGAUAAAAUGUUAAUCUGCUGCAGGUAACUUUUCUUGAAAGAUUUGAGUACCUGAUACACAACAGGUGCAAUUAAGUCGACGCAAAUAGAAUUGUCUUUCUUAGAAACAUCUAAACACCUGAAGUUAAAUUUGAAUUCAUCAUCUAUGUUCUAGUGGUUUGAUACCAUGUCUACAGAGCCAUUUCUGAAAUUUUGAUGAGAAGGGAACCAAUUUUUGUCAUCCUAAGGCAGCUAUGCUCUUGAAAAGAAGAAAAAAAUUCCUUCAAAAACUUUUUCAUAAAAAAAGUUGUCAAUUAAUGACUUCCUUACAUUGAUGUGAAAGAAUGUCUUUAAAAACAAUUUCACCUUUUUUUUAAUAUAUCUGACCUUAAUGAAAACAGUUGUGAUUUUUAGUUUUAUAUCCGAAACUCUUGCCCAUGUUCCUAAAUCCGUUAAGAACUACUCCCUCCCAUUUUUAAAUUUAAGAAUCUUGUCUUUUACCAUAAUUAUGAAAUGGCAGAAGUGGUACAGAGCUACAAUUAACUUAGUGUUUUAUCCCACUAUGUUUCUGAGUUCAAAUUUCACUAGGGUUAACUUUUAUCUUUCAUCCUUCUAAGGAUGAUAAAGUAAGUACCUAGCAUGUACUGAGGUUGAUUCAAUCAACUGUAUCCCAUCUCUUCAAAUUUGCGGCCUUGUGCUAUUGUAAAAAAAAAAUCACUAUUGAACUAUCUUGCACAAUAAAGGUAAGUUCAGAUUUGA
rnacentral:lncRNA from 1 species